rnacentral:rRNA from 1 species
AAUUAAUGACUAUAAAAGUACAUUUU